AUAAUGGUACUCCCUUGCAGCCACAGUCCGAGCGUUAAAAGCGUCGCAGGCGAUGGGCAGGGCUUCGGCAGACCGUCGGAGGGGUGAAAUUCCCGUG
rnacentral:ncRNA from 1 species